rnacentral:lncRNA from 1 species
UCUGCUGUAUGGAGCAUUUGGGAUAUUGGGAUACAUGGCUUUUGGUGAAGAGACCAAAGAUAUUAUCACUACCAACCUGGGAGCAGGGUUAAUAAGCACUCUGGUGCAACUGGGUCUAUGUGUGAACCUGUUUAUAACAUUCCCAUUGAUGAUGAACCCAGUUUACGAGGUGGUGGAGAGGCGGUUGUGUGAUUCUAGAUACUGCUUAUGGCUAAGGUGGGUAGUUGUUUUGGGGGUAAGUUUAGUGGCACUGCUGGUCCCAAAUUUUGCAGAUUUCUUGUCUCUAGUGGGCAGUAGUGUCUGCU